rnacentral:rRNA from 1 species
GGGGGGGGCGGGGGGCGGGGGGGGUGCGUGCAAGUCGAGCGAACGGGUGAGGCGCUUGCUCCUCUGACGUUAGCGGCGGACGGGGGAGUAACACGUGGAUAACCUACCUAUAAGACUGGGAUCACUUCGGGAAACCGGAGCUCAUACCGGAUAAUAUCUUGACCCGCAUGGUUCAAUAGUGAAAGACGGUUUUGCUGUCACUUAUAGAUGUAUCCGCGCCGCAUUAGCUAGUUGGUAAGGUAACGGCUUACCAAGGCAACGAUGCGUAGCCGACCUGAGAGGGUGAUCGGCCAAAAUGGAACUGAGACACGGUCCAGACUCCUACGGGAGGCAGCAGUAGGGAAUCUUCCGCAAUGGGCGAAAGCCUGACGGAGCAACGCCGCGUGAGUGAUGAAGGUCUUCGGAUCGUAAAACUCUGUUAUUAGGGAAGAACAAAUGUGUAAGUAACUAUGCACGCCUUGACGGUACCUAAUCAGAAAGCCACGGCUAACUACGUG